CCUGACUGUGCAAAGGUAGCAUAAUAAUUUGUCUUUUAAUUGGAGGAUGGAAUGAAUGACUCGACGAAAAUAUAGCUGUCUUAUUUGUAUUUAUUAAAAGUUAAUUUUUAAGUUAAAAAGCUUAGAUAAAAUUAAGGGACGAGAAGACCCUGUUAAGCUUUAAAGAUUUUAUUGAUUACAGUUUAUAUAAAAAUACGGUAUCAAUAGAAAAAUUUUAGUUGGGGCGACUUGGGAGUAAGAUAAACCUCCUUAGGUUUAAUAAGAUUUAAUAUGUGGUCCAAUACGUUUGAGUUAAAAACAAGCUACUACAGGGAUAACAGCGUAAUUUUAAUUGAGAGUUCUAAUCGAAAAUAAAGUUUGCGACCUCGAUGUUGGAUUAGGGGAUAGUAAAGGUUGUAGAAGCUUUUAUAAAUAGUCUGUUCGACUAGUAAUACCCUACAUGAUCUGAGUUCAAACCGGA
rnacentral:rRNA from 1 species